rnacentral:rRNA from 1 species
UACGUAGGGUGCAACGUUGUCCGGAAUUAUUGGGCGUAAAGAGCUCGUAGGCGGUCUGUCGCGUCUGCUGUGAAAACUCGGGGCUUAACCCCGGGCCUGCAGUGGGUACGGGCAGACUAGAGUGCGGUAGGGGAGACUGGAAUUCCUGGUGUAGCGGUGGAAUGCGCAGAUAUCAGGAGGAACACCGGUGGCGAAGGCGGGUCUCUGGGCAGUAACUGACGCUGAGGAGCGAAAGCGUGGGGAGCGAACAGG